rnacentral:rRNA from 1 species
AGUGAACGCUGGCGGUAGGCCUAACACAUGCAAGUCGAACGGCAGCACAGGAGAGCUUGCUCUCUGGGUGGCGAGUGGCGGACGGGUGAGGAAUACAUCGGAAUCUACUCUGUCGUGGGGGAUAACGUAGGGAAACUUACGCUAAUACCGCAUACGACCUACGGGUGAAAGCAGGGGACCUUCGGGCCUUGCGCGAUUGAAUGAGCCGAUGUCGGAUUAGCUAGUUGGCGGGGUAAAGGCCCACCAAGGCGACGAUCCGUAGCUGGGCUGAGAGGAUGAUCAGCUGCACUGGAACUGAGACACGGUCCAGACUCCUACGGGAGGCAGCAGUGGGGAAUAUUGGACAAUGGGCGCAAGCCUGAUCCAGCCAUACCGCGUGGGUGAAGAAGGCCUUCGGGUUGUAAAGCCCUUUUGUUGGGAAAGAAAUCCAGCUGGCUAAUACCCGGUUGGGAUGACGGUACCCAAAGAAUAAGCACCGGCUAACUUCGUGCCAGCAGCCGCCGCCG